rnacentral:rRNA from 1 species
AAUGCUUUAUGCGUCAAAAGGAUUCGUCUGCCCAAGGAUGGGUCUGCGGCCUAUCAGGUAGUAGUGGGUGUAAUGUACCUACUAGCCAGCGACGGGUACGGGUUGUGAGAGCAAGAGCCCGGAGAUGGAUUCUGAGACAUGAAUCCAGGCCCUACGGGGCGCAGCAGGCGCGAAAACUUUACAAUGCGGGAAACCGUGAUAAGGGGACACCGAGUGCCAGCAUCAUAUGCUGGCUGUCCGGAUGUGUAAAAUACAUCCGUUAGCAAGGGCCGGGCAAGACCGGUGCCAGCCGCCGCGGUAACACCGGCGGCCCGAGUGGUGAUCGUGGUUAUUGGGUCUAAAGGGUCCGUAGCCGGUUUGGUCAGUCCUCCGGGAAAUCUGAUAGCUCAGCUAUUAGGCUUUCGGGGGAUACUGCCAGACUUGGAACCGGGAGAGGUAAGAGGUACUACAGGGGUAGGAGUGAAAUCUUGUAAUCCCUGUGGGACCACCUGUGGCGAAGGCGUCUUACCAGAACGGGUUCGACGGUGAGGGACGAAAGCUGGGGGCACGA